GGCCGGUUAGCUUAAUGGUUAAAGGACCGUUCUGACUAGUGUUACACGCAGACGAAGCGGAGGAUCCGGGUUCGAGUCCCGGGCCGGCCA
rnacentral:tRNA from 1 species